rnacentral:rRNA from 1 species
GGCAGCAGCUAAGAAUAUUCCACAAUGGACGAAAGUCUGAUGGAGCGACGCCGCGUGAGCGAUGAAGGCCGUGAGGUUGUAAAGCUCUUUUCCGGAGGGGGAAUAAGCGGGGCAGGGAAUGGCCCCGCGAUGACGUGAAUCCGGGAAUAAGCCCCGGCUAACUACGUGCCAGCAGCCGCGGUAACACGUAGGGGGCGAGCGUUGUUCGGAAUCAUUGGGCGUAAAGGGCGCGCAGGCGGCCGUGCAAGUCUGGUGUAAAAUGGUCAUGCUCAACAUGAUCAUGCGCUGGAAACUGUGCGGCUCGAGUCAACGAGGGGAUGCCGGAAUUCCAGGUGUAGGGGUGAAAUCUGUAGAUAUCUGGAGGAACACCGAUGGCGAAGGCAGGCAUCUGGCGACUGACUGACGCUGAGGCGCGAAGGUGCGGGGAGCAAACAGGUUUAGAUACCCUGGUAGUCCGCACAGUAAACGAUGUGCACCAGGUGGCGGGCAGCAGUGCUCGGUACCGAAGCAAACGCAUUAAGUGCACCGCCUGGGGAGUAUGCUCGCAAGGGUGAAACUCAAAGGAAUUGACGG